UAUUUUCUUAUAAUAAUUAGGCCUAUAAAUGCAUAAUCAUGUUCAUGUUUUGUGCUGUCAUGCUUUGCAGAUGACUGAGAAUAUUACUGAAGGAUCCUACAUGGAAGCUGUCUGAUUACACUGAGUGAUUCCUCUGGUGUGGUGUACCUCAGAGAAAAUAAACACUGUUGCAAGAGCUCAGAAGAUAUCCUUAUUGCUGGAUGGUUGCUCUCUGGUCGUACUUGAGCCCCCUGGACCAUGUCUGCAAAUGCUUCUGAACAUUGACAGAAUUUCUAAAGGAUCGCUGAGGACUCCCCCUCCAUGCGUGACAUCUUUGAGAAAUUUCCACGCUUUCUGGAGAUGCCAAGUUUGACUGGAACCAACUUUGCAUCCCUCGGCACCGACACUGAGAAGGUUUCAAGGACCCCACUACUAGGAGGCGAGAGUUUGACACGGCAGUGUCAUCACUGCCAUGGAUGACAAUGUAACCAUUCCUGUUGCUGAUUGCCUGACUUGCGCAGUGACAAGCUUUUCAUGCUCUACUGGGUGUGUAACUUGGCAUAUCCACCACAGUUUAACUCUGUUUUUGCCUCUUUUGAAUAUGUGUACGAUAUAACCAUCUCAACCAAAAAGUGGGCCAAGGUACUGGAACAUUUCUCACUUCAAGUUGCUCUGUAGUCACUGGACAUUUUUUAAAACAUCUACGCAAACACCACCACUCCACACCAUGUGUAUUUUAAUUACUUCUGAUUCCACUGACAUGCAGACUACAUCCUAUGCAGAUUCAGGUAAUUUACCUGGUACUGGAGAAACAGCAUUGUAUGCCAUUCUAAGUGAUACUUGCCUCCUUGUUUUGCAAAAAUGUACUGUUCUUUGAAUAUAA